rnacentral:pre_miRNA from 8 species
GACGGUGCUGGGGACUCGCGCGCUGGGUCCAGUGGUUCUUAACAGUUCAACAGUUCUGUAGCGCAAUUGUGAAAUGUUUAGGACCACUAGACCCGGCGGGCACGGCGACAGCGACGGAACG